AACGAACGCUGGCGGCAGGCUUAACACAUGCAAGUCGAACGCCCCGCACGGGGAGUGGCAGACGGGUGAGUAACGCGUGGGAACAUACCCUUUCAUGCGGACUGGCCCUGGGAAACUGGAAUUAAUACCGCAUACGCCCUGCGGGGGCAAGAUUUAUCGGGGAAGGAUUGGCCCGCGUUGGAUUCGCUAGUUGGUGGGGUAAAGGCCUACCAAGGCGACGAUCCAUAGCUGGUCUGAGAGGAUGAUCAGCCACAUUGGGCCUGAGACACGGCCCAAACUCCUACGGGAGGCAGCAGUGGGGAAUAUUGGACAAUGGGCGCAAGCCUGAUCCAGCCAUGCCGCGUGAGUGAUGAAGGCCUUAGGGUUGUAAAGCUCUUUCACCGAUGAAGAUAAUGACGGGAGUCGGAGAAGAAGCCCCGGCUAACUUCGUGCCAGCAGCCGCUGUAAGAC
rnacentral:rRNA from 1 species